rnacentral:sRNA from 1 species
AACACACACAAAAAAAGAGAGAGAGAGAGAGAGAGAGAGAGAGAGAGAGAGAGACCCCACAAAGAGCACUAAUCUUCACAACCCUAACUCCGAUUUUUCUCACACCUCCCAAUCUCUCUUUCUUUCUCUCUGAUGAAAAGCUAACGGAAAAUGGGGAAAUA